UACAGAGGUCCCAAGCGUUACUGAGAAUCACUGGGUUUAAAGGGUGCGUAGGUGGCACGUUAAGUCAGUUGUGAAAUCCCCGGGCUCAACCCGGGAACUGCUUCUGAUACUGGCGUGCUUGAGGCCAGUAGGGGUCACUAGAACUGACGGUGGAGCGGUGAAAUGCGUAGAUAUCGUCAGGAAUGCCGGUGGUGAAGACGGGUGACUGGGCUGGUUCUGACACUGAGGCACGAAAGCGUGGGGAGCGAACGGG
rnacentral:rRNA from 1 species